CCGAGGAAAAGAAAUCAACCGAGAUUCCCCCAGUAGCGGCGAGCGAACGGGGAGCAGCCCAGAGCCUGAAUCAGUGUGUGUGUUAGUGGAAGCGUCUGGAAAGGCGCGCGAUACAGGGUGACAGCCCCGUACACAAAAAUGCACAUGCUGUGAGCUCGAUGAGUAGGGCGGGACACGUGGUAUCCUGUCUGAAUAUGGGGGGACCAUCCUCCAAGGCUAAAUACUCCUGACUGACCGAUAGUGAACCAGUACCGUGAGGGAAAGGCGAAAAGAACCCCGGCGAGGGGAGUGAAAAAGAACCUGAAACCGUGUACGUACAAGCAGUGGGAGCACGCUUAGGCGUGUGACUGCGUACCUUUUGUAUAAUGGGUCAGCGACUUAUAUUCUGUAGCAAGGUUAACCGAAUAGGGGAGCCGAAGGGAAACCGAGUCUUAACUGGGCGUUAAGUUGCAGGGUAUAGACCCGAAACCCGGUGAUCUAGCCAUGGGCAGGUUGAAGGUUGGGUAACACUAACUGGAGGACCGAACCGACUAAUGUUGAAAAAUUAGCGGAUGACUUGUGGCUGGGGGUGAAAGGCCAAUCAAACCGGGAGAUAGCUGGUUCUCCCCGAAAGCUAUUUAGGUAGCGCCUCGUGAAUUCAUCUCCGGGGGUAGAGCACUGUUUCGGCAAGGGGGUCAUCCCGACUUACCAACCCGAUGCAAACUGCGAAUACCGGAGAAUGUUAUCACGGGAGACACACGGCGGGUGCUAACGUCCGUCGUGAAGAGGGAAACAACCCAGACCGCCAGCUAAGGUCCCAAAGUCAUGGUUAAGUGGGAAACGAUGUGGGAAGGCCCAGACAGCCAGGAUGUUGGCUUAGAAGCAGCCAUCAUUUAAAGAAAGCGUAAUAGCUCACUGGUCGAGUCGGCCUGCGCGGAAGAUGUAACGGGGCUAAACCAUGCACCGAAGCUGCGGCAGCGACGCUUAUGCGUUGUUGGGUAGGGGAGCGUUCUGUAAGCCUGUGAAGGUGUGCUGUGAGG
rnacentral:rRNA from 1 species